UUUAGAGAGAAAGAGAGAAAGAGAGAUAUUCCAUAAUAGCUUGAAAACUCUUGGCAAGGAAUUCAAAUUACAAAAUCCACCAAGUGUGGGAGGGCACAUGCCGAUGAUGACGUGGUGUGAUUCUAGCUAAGUGCGGAGUGGGAGUGAGCAUGAGCUGAUGACUGGGGGUUGUAUCUAUGUUUGGUAUGCAGUGUGGGAGUGCACAGGAUGAUUCCAGCUAUGUGAGGUGUGGGAGUGCACAUGAGCUGAUGACCGAUGGGUGUGUUUGAAAGAAGAAGUUUAGUGGAAGAAGGAGAGCAAUUUCGAGGUGCAGACUUCUAAUGCAUAUGUUUCGGUAUUUUGGCUAUAACUUUCUCUAAAAAGCUUGAAAUGAAGAGAUUAUUGGACCAUUGGAAAGCUGAGAGAAAGAUAUACAACUCUUAUGUUUAACACUUCACCCAGUUUGGCCUGUAGGAUGGUAAAAAAUCUUAUCAAAGUUGACACACUGCAGUAGUCCUAGAGCAAUUACAAUUUCUAUUAAUUAAUUUGGCAAAGCUGCGACUUACAUAGUUUGCUGAGGAAAUCCCAACUGAAAUUGACUUCUUUCUUCACCCAACUUGGUCUAACUCCAAAACCUAUAAAGACAACCUUUCGGAAGACAUAAGGGGAGAAGAAAACACCAAAUUAACAUUUGAGAGUCAAGGCACAGAGUCAUUGAAGCUAAGAAGAAU